AGUAAAGUCAGCUAAUUAAGCUCUUGGGCCCAUACCCCAAAAAUGUUGGUCAAAUCCCUCCUUUACUA
rnacentral:tRNA from 1 species